AAGGUGGGGAUGACGUCAAGUCCUCAUCGGCCCUUAUGGGUAGGCUUCACACGUAAUACAAUGGUCGGUACAGAGGGUUGCCAACCCGCGAGGGGGAGCCAAUCCCAGAAACCGAUCGUAGUCCGGAUUGCAGUCUGCAACUCGACUGCAUGAAGUCGGAAUCGCUAGUAAUCGCGGAUCAGCAUGUCGCGGUGAAUACGUUCCCGGGCCUU
rnacentral:rRNA from 1 species